rnacentral:rRNA from 1 species
GACGAACGCUGGCGGCGUGCUUAACACAUGCAAGUCGAACGGAAAGGCCCUGCUUUUGUGGUGUGCUCGAGUGGCGAACGGGUGAGUAACACGUGAGUAACCUGCCCUUGACUUUGGGAUAACUUCAGGAAACUGGGGCUAAUACCGGAUAGGAGCUCCUGCUGCAUGGUGGGGGUUGGAAAGUUUCGGCGGUUGGGGAUGGACUCGCGGCUUAUCAGCUUGUUGGUGGGGUAGUGGCUUACCAAGGCUUUGACGGGUAGCCGGCCUGGGGGGGUGACCGGCAACAUUGGGACUGAGAUACGGCCCAGACUCCUACGGGAGGCAGCAGUGGGGAAUAUUGCACAAUGGGCGGAAGCCUGUUGCAGCAACGCCGCGUGCGGGAUGACGGCCUUCGGGUUGUAAACCGCUUUCGCCUGUGACGAAGCGUGAGUGACGGUAAUGGGUAAAGAAGCACCGGCUAACUACGUG